UCGCGUAGACAAGGCUUAGACAUGUGUGUUGGACAAAAGCAGAGCAAUAGCGGCAGAAGUACUUAGUAAAGCAGCUUGAGUCGUUUCGGCCAGUAGUAGUUUCCUUUCUUUCAAUGCAAGUAAAGAAAAUAGUGUUUUUUAAGAGAAUGGUUCCUCUCUGAGGGAGCUGGUGAAUGUCAGAAGAGGCUGGUAGCAGGGAGGGACUGUCGGGAGUCCUUGAUGAUGUUAGCAGAAAAAGACUGCUUUGCUGCUUUGUGCUCUUCUUUUGUUUAAACUCGUCCUUUUUGUAUAAAACUCAAGACUUUUGUGAAGAGAAUAAUUUUUGUGAUGUUGGAACUUGCUAUGCACUUCUGGAUUGAACCAGGGCUUUUCUGAAGCAGAUGAGUUAUGUCAACUCAUGGGUCAUACUUAGCCUUUUUACCCUUAAGAUGAAAAAGAUUGAAAUCUGUGUUUUGUACAGCAGACGUUACUAAAGCAAGGAGAAAACUUGGUUCUUUUCCUGGGUUUUGGAAGAAAUCUGACAGUGGCUUGAGAGCAGGUUAUCUCACACCCUGAUGACAGAAAAGAUGCACAUUACUGCUCACUUAGCUGUUUGGAAGCAUUUGGGCUUGUGUGUUUCUGUACCAUCUCUGACAACCUAACAGAACCCAGAAUGGCUCCAGAAGAAGAUACUAUAGACUUGACCUGCUUCUACCAGGCUUCCAUCCUUGUGCCAUGGCUGGAAAAGGACCACGUGUAAGACUGACGACGUCCGCACCAAAGUGGAGCUUUCUUUAAAUGCCUCCAAGGUUGGAAACCAAAGACUGCUGCAAGAGCUCCCAUCAUCGUGCAGAGUAUCCAGAAAUGCUGUUCAUGUCAACACAAUUGGUCAAGAUUUCCAAGUCUCACUGUCAGCUCCAUGCAAAUGAGGCAUUCCUUGGCUACACAGUUGUUACCUUGGUGUAGUAAACAAUGAAGGAGCCAUAGUUGCCUUGAAAUUAACUGACCAUGCAAAGAAAGGCUGUAAUUCCCCCAAGCGGCAAAACGUUUUGGGAACCUGCUUGAAACACUCUGAAAGGGCUGGGGAAG